rnacentral:rRNA from 1 species
UGGGGAAUUUUGGACAAUGGGGGAAACCCUGAUCCAGCCAUCCCGCGUGUGCGAUGAAGGCCUUCGGGUUGUAAAGCACUUUUGGCAGGAAAGAAACGUCGCGGGUUAAUACCCCGCGAAACUGACGGUACCUGCAGAAUAAGCACCGGCUAACUACGUGCCAGCAGCCGCGGUAAUACGUAGGGUGCAAGCGUUAAUCGGAAUUACUGGGCGUAAAGCGUGCGCAGGCGGUUCGGAAAGAAAGAUGUGAAAUCCCAGAGCUUAACUUUGGAACUGCAUUUUUAACUACCGGGCUAGAGUGUGUCAGAGGGAGGUGGAAUUCCGCGUGUAGCAGUGAAAUGCGUAGAUAUGCGGAGGAACACCGAUGGCGAAGGCAGCCUCCUGGGAUAACACUGACGCUCAUGCACGAAAGCGUGGGGAGCAAACAGGAUUAGAUACCCUGGUAGUCCACGCCCUAAACGAUGUCAACUAGCUGUUGGGGCCUUCGGGCCUUGGUAGCGCAGCUAACGCGUGAAGUUGACCGCCUGGGGAGUACGGUCGCAAGAUUAAAACUCAAAUGAAUUGACGGGGUCGAUACUGUUUCCU